rnacentral:rRNA from 1 species
UUGACCUCGGAUCAGGUAGGACUACCCGCUGAACUUAAGCAUAUCAAUAAGCGGAGGAAAAGAAACCAACAGGGAUUGCCCCAGUAACGGCGAGUGAAGCGGCAACAGCUCAGAUUUGGAAUCUGGUCCCCAGGGCCCGAGUUGUAAUCUGGAGAGGAUGCUUCUGGCGCGGCGCCUUCCGAGUUCCCUGGAACGGGACGCCGGAGAGGGUGAGAGCCCCGUACGGUUGGACGCCUAGCCUUUGUGAAGCUCCUUCGACGAGUCGAGUAGUUUGGGAAUGCUGCUCAAAAUGGGAGGUAAAUUUCUUCUAAAGCUAAAUACCGGCCAGAGACCGAUAGCGCACAAGUAGAGUGAUCGAAAGAUGAAAAGCACUUUGAAAAGAGGGUCAAACAGUACGUGAAAUUGUUGAAAGGGAAGCGCCCGUGGCCAGACUUGUGCCCCGCGGACCACCCGGCGCCCUCAGCGCCGGUGCACUCCGCGGGGCGCAGGCCAGCAUCGGUUUUCCCAGGGGGAUAAAGGCGGCGGGAA